UCAUCACAGCCGUUGGAUUUUCAUCAUCCACGGCUCAUAACUGAUGCACAUAUAUUAUUUAGCAGUCCGAACGCCCUUACGCACCCAAUCUUUCUCGUCUCUCACAAACCCUAGAGAUCAACCCUAGCCGCCUCACAACCCCUCGCUGUUUCCACCGCAAACUACCGCUAGAAAUCGCCUCACGGCAGUUCCGGUGGUCCAAUAAACCCCAAAUUUACACCUUAAACUCCCCAUCACCUCCUCGUUACUAAUAUCCAGUUAGUCUCCCUCGAAUCCCUCUAGAAAUGGUCGAAUUUUGGAUCGAAAACUUCGGUCAAAAACCCUAAUCGUUCCAACCCCUCCUCUAUAUUCCAACCAGGUAAUCACCAUAGCUUCGUUGUCCUAUAUCCGUCACUAAUUGCUCCUAAAUCCUUACCCAUUCGCCCCAAUUUCGAAUCUGGGUUCUGAAAGACAAGACCAGCCCACAAAUCAUUUUCAUCAUUUGAUUCUUGGGGUUUUCAAGCUCAGAGGUCAUGCUGAUCGAUUGUUCUUGACAAGAACAAUCGAUUAGCGUUAGUUUGGCUUAAUUCGAGAUCACCGGACUUCGACCAAGUCAUGCACUUCCCGGCCGACUUUGUCAAAUUCUCUCAUCUUGUAGUCUGCUCCGUUUAAUCAAGUUUUCUGGCCAAAACUAGGUCGUCUCUUCUUUUCUUCAUUUUUCCGGUUAAUUGUUUAGAUAUCAGUGUUUUAUUUUAUUUUAUUUGAAUUAGUUUAAUUAGUUAUCAUUUAAUUCAAUGAUUAGGACUGAGUUCUAUUCUUCAAUCUAUAGUCAUGUGAAGCUCUUCUUCAAUUUUUGGUAUUUGUCUCUGCCAUUUUCAUUUUUUUUUCUGAUUGUCAUUUCCAUCUUUAUUCUUUUAUAUGUUCUCCCCUGCAUAUAUUUUAGCUAGUUGUUUGUCCAGUUGGAUUAUUCUUUUGCUUUCACUGUUUGAAGUUCAAUGAUGUUAAAAAUGAAAAUGCCUAAGUUAGGUGUUUUAAAAUUAAGUGUUCGUUUUAAAAUGAUUGGCUGUGUGAUUAUGUGGGAUAAAACUUUACGAGAUAUUUUGUGUUAAAAAAUUCUUUCUUGUAGAGUCUUGUUAAUAUUAGUUUCAAAAUUUCCUCCAUGUUCAUCCCAUCAUUACAUUUUUGGGUUUCUUGUUCAUAUCACUAGUUUAAGUUUUAGCUUAGGAGUUUUUUGUCACUGAUCCUCUUAAGCCAUUUUUUGGAUUUAAAUUUCUGAUCUUCUCUUGGGUUGAUUUUGUUUGCCUUGAUGUGAAAACCAGUAAAACCUUAGAGGCUUAACAGAAAUAAAAGUUAAGGUAAAAAUGAAAUAAGCGUUAUUUUAGAGGUUAAAUUGGGGUUUUACAUUAGGGUAAAGUCAGAAUUUUCUAGAGCUUGGGACAGUUGUCCUUAUCCUUAGCCAAUACUGAUAUUGGAUAAGAGGAAAAAGGACAAUACAACUGUAAAAUAUGUUGUACUAGGCCAGUAUAUUCUUUUCCUAGAUGCUAUUAGGGCAUUCUAUAUAAAGAAACACUUUCUCACUCACACACAACUUUAGAGUAUGAUUUACUAUACAAAAAAUCAUUCCCUAUGCUAAAAUGACUGAGUUUGAAACUUUGAGAAAACUUUUCUCUUUAAUUUUUUUUCUGAAAAGCUAAAAUGACUUGAAGUAGAAGAACUUCUCUUGAUCCUCUUAGUUUAAUAUUUGAGGUCUCAAGCUGGUUUUGAGUAUCUUUUUCUGAUUCGAGUCUCUGGGUCAUUUUAGUGUUGUCUGUUUGUUCUUCCUGCUAAAAUCCAGUUGUCAAAGAGAGAGUUUUGCUUUUAGGGUUUAUUUGUUGUUAAAGGUACACACCUUAGAUUCCCAUGUUUGACUAGCUUCAUUUUGUGAUCCUUUAUGAUUUGUGUGUUUGCUAUAAUGUAAUGUUCAAGUAAAGAUUGUAAGUGAUCUGAAAUGAACAUCUAUUCUCGACACUACUGCCUUUCAUUUGUUUAAAACAUGAUGCUUUGUUCAAAAUCUUUAUCUAGAUAUUCUGGGCUGUUUGAGUAUAAGGUACAGAUUGUUGGUAGUAUAUCGAUGGUAGUGUAAGGUGGGAAUCAGUGUACAUGCCCAAGAAACUAUGUCCUAAAUUCGUCCCUUAUAGCAGCACAAAAGGACAGUGAAUCUCACCCUUUAAAUGGUCAGAUUCAUCCCUUAAAUGGUGCAUUAUAGUCUUAAUUUCUUCAGUAGGUGUUUAAAUUAUUAUUUUUUUUUCUUCCUCCUCUUUCCUCCUUUGCUGAAAUGAGAGCCAUUGAUUAAAUCAUGGUUCGGAGAUCUUUGCAUGCAUGUAAGUUUAACCUUAAACAUGGUUAGACCUAUAGAUAUCAUUAUAUUUCCUUCACUCAUUUUGGUAGUAGGGCUAACUUGGUAACAUUGUAGGUUCUUUUCCUGAAGAUGUUUUUUUUUUUUGUGAAUCUGACCCUUUUCCACAUGAUUCAUGAAAGUCUUGCUGCAUUCAGAGGUGGAGCCGUGGUAGAUUAGGAACUUCCUCUUUUUAUUUUUGUUGCAAUUGAGGUUAAGACACUGAUGUAGUCCAUAUUUUGUACUUUUCUAUUCAGUUCUGGAGUAUGUAAUAAUUGGACUGUACUUUAAAAAUUCAUAUAGUAGUUGAUGCAGUCCCAACAGUUCAUGUAAUUAUAUUUUAGAAGGUGCAUUGGUAUGAUAUUGUUUGAAAAAGGGGCAACGUUUGGCUAGUGAGUUUGGGUUCAGCUAUUGGAUUUCAGUAAUUUCAAAAGCCUGUUGACUCAUGUUUAAAAUUAUUGUUUUAAGUUUAGGACUAAAAUCUGACUUUCUAAAAUGGUCAAUAAUCAAAUCAUCUGUAGUAUAGUUAACACUCAGAUUCGUAGUUAUAGAGCUGAAUUUCCUUUGUUUUAAAAGAAAAGUUCACUUGUUGCUCAUGAUUUAUAUGUAUGCCUUGGUUUAGAAUAUAAUAGGGUGGAUAGGUCAGCUGAUGCCAAAUUCACAAUUGGGCCCACCUAAAUCUAAGCCCAAUGUUGGAUGCUUGUUUCGAAUUCUUCCAUGACACUUUGAUGAUGUUAAUCUUUCAAAAGCCACCGCUGGCCCUGUUUAAAAAAUGAUUAAGGGCCCAAUCCACGUACUCUAAAACUUGCUUAUGAUCAAUAUCUUUUGUUAAGUUUAAGUAAGUUUAAAUAAGGACAUACUUAGAAUGCCUUGAUCAACUACAUUUCUUUUGAAAUAAUUUGAGGCAUGCCUUGAUAAACAACUCCCUAAAUACAUGGCCCUUGCAUUAGUUUCAUCUAACGAAUAUCAAAUAUUCGUAGUUUUCUUUAGGCCCGGUUUAGAUUAGUAUUGCA
rnacentral:lncRNA from 1 species